GACAUGUAACAUGAGAUAGUUGCCCGAUCACCGGUUAGAAGCAUGACAUGUCGCUGAUGCACGAGAUAUAAGCAUGAUCGGGUCAAAACUAUCAAAAAAAAAAAAAGUUUUUUCCAAAUUCUAUGUUAUGAUUAUGGAUAAUUUGGAAUAUAGUGAAAUUGCAUUUUCUUCCAUUUAUCUAUAGUUGAAUUAGUAAUUCAAUUAAAUAUAUUGCUAUAUUUCUUGGAUCCUUCUUGUGAUAGUAUGCUCGCUAUCUUUUUUUUAAACAGGUAUUGCGGUGUAAAGGUGAACAACUAUCAUUUAGGAUUGUGAUUAGGAGCAAAAAUAGCUAUUUUAUGGUGUGGAUUG
rnacentral:lncRNA from 1 species